rnacentral:rRNA from 1 species
AUUGAACGCUGGCGGCAGGCCUAACACAUGCAAGUCGAGCGAGCGGCGGACGGGUGAGUAAUGUAUGGGGACUGCCCGAUGGAGGGGGAUAACUACUGGAAACGGUGGCUAAUACCGCAUACCAUCGGAUAACCCAUAUGGGAUUAGCUAGUAGGUGGGGUAAAGGCUCACCUAGGCGACGAUCCCUAGCUGGUCUGAGAGGAUGAUCAGCCACACUGGGACUGAGACACGGCCCAGACUCCUACGGAGGCAGCAGUAGGGAAUCUUCGACAAUGGACGAAAGUCUGAGGGAGCAACGCCGCGUGUGUGAAGAAGGCUUUCGGGUCGUAAAGCACUGUUAGUGGAGAGGCGGUAUCUACAGAAGAAGCAACGGCUAACUACGUGCCAGCAGCCGCGGUAAUUC